UACGUAGAAGACUAGUGUUAUUCAUCGUUAGUAGGUUUAAAGGGUACCUAGACGGAAAUACUAGCCCAGAAUAGGGUACGGUAUUUCUAGAGUUUUAUAAGAGAAGAGGAGUAUUCAUAGUGUAGAGAUAAAAUUUGUUGAUACUUUGACGACUGGUAAAGGCGAAAGCAAUCUUCUAUCUAAAAACUGACGUUGAGGGACGAAGGCCCGGGUAACAAACAGGAUUAGAAACCCUACGGUGAGUCCAG
rnacentral:rRNA from 1 species